rnacentral:lncRNA from 1 species
AAAAAACAACUCUCUCUCUUCCUCUCAGAGCAAACACAAGCUCUGCAAACUUCUAAACACCUCUGACUUCAACCUACCGGAGAAGAUGGCGGUUGCCGGCCAACGGCGGCGGCGCCACCUUCUUCUCCGGCGAACCACCACUUAAAACCUAAAUCUCAAAUACCAACUCCCCUUUAUUCACGCUCGCGGUUGCGGAUCCGGCCACAAAAACAACAAAGUCCCAACCACAAACCCGAAUCAGAAACCCUAAACCAGAAAACCCAAUUCACACAAAACGAAAUUAAACCCAAGAUCUACGAAGUCUCAAGAAAUUACCAAAGGAAAAAGGAUCAACGAGAAGAGCUCUAUAUCAAGACGAAAUUAAAAGGGAAAGAAGAAACUCAAGACUACCUACACGGAGAGAUUUUGGCGUGGUUCCGGCGACAAACUCGAAGGUAAUGUAAUUAUCUUCUGAUUCCUUUAGAGCUGCCUCCUACUCCUCCUUUGCUUUAGAUUCAGCUUAUAGCUCAACCUUGCUCAAACUCUGGUGAUAAGUUUGAGCGGUUGAUGAAAAAAAUGAGCUUUAGGUUUUUUUUCCGAAAUAUAUUGUUACUGUAUAUUCUGGGUUCUGAAAAAGAAUUGCUCGGUUGUUGCUGUUAACUUUCUAGGAUUUUCCUUAGAAAUUUUGCUCUGUGUGUUUGCUGUUGUGUUCUAGGUUUUUUUUUUGAGAAAAUCUCUUACUGUGUUGUCUCUUUGGAGUUAACAGAGAAAAAAACUUUGAAAAUUUCUUCUGGAUUUUUAUCAAAACGUUUCUUUUUUUUACUGUUAAUUUGUUGUUGUUAUAUAUGUGAUGAAUGCUGAGGUUCUGAGAUAACUUGUUAAGUUAUCCUUUUUCCAGAUUUUGUGGGAUAAUUAUCUUAUGGAUUUAAGGUUGUUGAUGUGGAUAUUGCAAAGUGUUCUUGAGUGUUCUCCUUGGUUUACUGUGUAACCAAAUAAUCUGUUUAUUUUAUGGUUUAUUUUCCAGUUUGUUUUAAGUGUUUAUUUUGAUAAGCAGUUUUUUUAACUUUGAAUUUGGUUUUGCAUUUGCAGGUGAAGUGAUGUUGAAUUGAUUGAAAAGGGGCGCUGGCUUUUUGAGUUGGGUCACUACACGAAGGGACCAUUGGCUUUGGAGAAAGUCUCUGAAGACUACUUCAAAUCAUUAGACUCCAUUCAAUUAUUUUCAGAAUUUUAGAUUAUUUUUGUAACCUGUAAAUUAAUCAAAUGCUCCUUUGUAUUUUUGUGUAAAUUUGGAUUAUUUGGAGUUUUUUUAAUAUGUAAAUUUAAUUUGAAACUUCCUUUUUUUUUGGAGAACUAUGUAACUACUUUUUUUGGAUUAUCAGCAAGAUCUUUUUAUAAUUUUAAUUUAAGCUCUAUUAGAGUAACUUGUAACAUUUGGACUUAAUUGAAAUAUGAUUUGGAAUAUCACUUGGAACAUUAUUUGGAACAUAAUUUGUGCAAUUA